rnacentral:rRNA from 1 species
GUCUGUGGCCACACCACUCUGAAUGCGCCCGAUCUCGUCUGAUCUCAGAAGCUAAGCAGUGUUGGGCCUGGUUAGCAUUUGGAUAGGAAAAAGUGUCAUACUACAUCAU